rnacentral:misc_RNA from 1 species
GAUGAAGAACGUAGCGAAAUGCGAUAAGUAAUGUGAAUUGCAGAAUUCAGUGAAUCAUCGAAUCUUUGAACACACAUUGCGCCCGCCAGUAUUCUGGCGGGCAUGCCUGUUCGAGCGUCAUUUCAACCAUCAAGCCCCAGGCUUGUGUUGGGGACCUGCGGCUGCCGCAGGCCCUGAAAACCAGUGGCGGGCUCGCUGUCACACCGGGCGUAGUAGAUUUUAUCUCGCUCAGGGCGUGCUGCGGGUUCCGGCCGUUAAAAAGCCUUUUUUACCCAAGGUUGACCUCGGAUCAGGUAGGAAGACCCGCUGAACUUAAGCAUAUCAAUAGCGGAGGA